rnacentral:lncRNA from 1 species
GUGGUUCAAAACAAUACAAAUUUAUUUUCUGAUAGUUCUAGGGGUCAGAAACACAAAAUGGGCCUCAAUGGGCUGAAAUAGGGUGUUGGCAGGGAUGCAUUCCUUCCUGGAGGCUCGAGGGAGAAUCUGUUUCUUUGCCCUUUCCAUGUUUUAGAGGCUGCCCGCAUUCCUUGGCUUGUGGCCCCCUUCCAUCUUCAAAGCCAGCAAUGUUCGUCCAGUCUUCUCACAUCACAUGGGUCUGACGCUGACUCUUCUGUAUCCAUCUUCCAUUUAUAAGGACCCUUGUGAUUACUUGGGUCUAUGCAGAUAAUCCAGGAUAAUCUCCCAUCUCAAGGUCAACUGAUUAGCAGCGUUAACUUCAUCUGCAAUCUUAAUUUUCCCUUGCAGUAUAACCUACCAUAUUCAGGUUCUGGGGAUUAGGACAUGGACAUAUUUGGAAGGGGAGAGCAUUAUUCUGUCUAUCGCACAUACUCUCCUGUUUGAAUGUCAAACCAAAUUUGAGGGAUGCCAUCAGCUCCAUUUUAUAGGUAAAGAAGCAGACAGAGAGCACAAGCGCCUUACCCAAGGACAGCUAUGCUCAUAAACAGACCUAGCAUUAAACUCAGUUCUGUAUGACUUCAAAGCAUGGCCCUUUCCACGACACUGAGAAUAGUAAAGAUGUAAACAGAACCUCCCUCGUAAGCUAGAGUGCUUCAGCAAGUGCCUGGCACAUUUUAUAUGCUCAACAAACAGAUGCUGGCAUUAUUAUUCACCCAAGCCUUACCCAAGCACUCUGAGGCUUGCUUGCCAACCAGGGCAGAGUCUUGGGGAUCGUUCUUACAGCCAUAUUUUAUAGGAACUCUCAGAAACAAUUUGUUCAAGUUGUUCCCUUGGAAACUUUAUAUAUUUUCAGAGUCUCCAAAAUGAAAGGUCAUGUUGGAUAGUAGCAGCUGGUGGGAGCCUGAAGCUGAAACUGGGCGGGUUUUCACGAAUUCACAUGGGCAACUUCCUCUCUUUCCUGUCAGUUUUGUUAUUG